rnacentral:lncRNA from 1 species
GCCACAGCCGCCCCUGCCUGCGCCAUGGCGGCAGGGCUGCCUGGCCGGUAUUGGAAACAUGAUCAGCAACUCCCCAACGUGGAACCUGGGCAAGAUCAACCUCUCAGUGCUUUGGGAUCCUGCAGGAAUCUUUGAAUUGGUGGAACUUGUUUGCAAUGGUACCUACAAGCAGCACUUUUUAUUCUAGUCAGAGAAGAGGAGGAAAUGAGGACAUGUAAGAGAAAACAUGGCAGCACCAAGACAGGAAAGUACUAUCAGCUCCAGACAGCAGAGGAAAAACAGCAUAGGCUUUCCACUUGAUAGCUCUCAGAGGUCUCCAGCAGAUCAGGUGGAGAACAAGGAACAUACUACAGCCUCCUCAGUUGCAACUCUCUCUGCUCUUUCCAAAAGACUGAAUUUUGAGAGUCCAAGACAGAUGGAAAAAUCAAGCACUACAAAAUUGUGUAUUCCUGGCUGGACUCUGGACUGCAGGAUGUUUUUCAAUCAAGGUUAACAGGUUUUAUUUGAGUGUGGUAAUUCUGAUUUGCUUGAUAACCCUGGGCACAGCUGAUGCAGCUGGGAUUGUCGACAGCUUUCUGGAUGAAUACCUGGACUUCAGCAUAAUGGAGAAAGUCCAUAAAUUGCUUUGAAGGUGCUUUUUAAAAAAAUAUUAAAAAAAAAAAAUUAAAAAAAAUAAAUAAAUAACAUGACUGAACCCCA